rnacentral:sRNA from 1 species
CCCGAGCCGGGCGGGCCGCUAGUGCGGAAAGCCCGGACAGGCUUUAGUCGGACAGUGGCCUGUUUCCAAACCAACCCCGACAGCC